UACGGAAGGCAGCAGUGGGGAAUAUUGCACAAUGGGCGCAAGCCUGAUGCAGCCAUGCCGCGUGUAUGAAAAAGGCCUUCGGGUUGUAAAGUACUUUCAGUCGUGAGGAAGGUGUUAAGGUUAAUAACCUUAGCAAUUGACGUUAGCGACAGAAGAAGCACCGGCUAACUCCGUGCCAGCAGCCGCGGUAAUACGGAGGGUGCGAGCGUUAAUCGGAAUUACUGGGCGUAAAGGGCACGCAGGCGGUUAAUUAAGUUUGGAUGUGAAAUCCCCGGGCUUAACCUGGGAAUGGCAUUCAAGACUGGUUAGCUAGAGUCUUGUAGAGGGGGUAGAAUUCCGAUGUGUAGCGGUGAAAUGCGUAGAGAUGUGGAGGAAUACCGGUGGCGAAGGCGGCCCCUGGACAAAGACUGACGCUCAUGUGCGAAAGCGUGGGGAGCAAACGAGGGAUUAGAUACC
rnacentral:rRNA from 1 species